rnacentral:rRNA from 1 species
AUUGAACGCUGGCGGAAUGCUUUACACAUGCAAGUCGAACGGCAGCACGGACUUCGGUCUGGUGGCGAGUGGCGAACGGGUGAGUAAUAUAUCGGAACGUGCCCAGUCGUGGGGGAUAACGUAGUGAAAAUUACGCUAAUACCGCAUACGAUCUAUAGAUGAAAGCGGGGGAUCGCAAGACCUCGCGCGAUUGGAGCGGCCGAUAUCAGAUUAGGUAGUUGGUGAGGUAAAGGCUCACCAAGCCGACGAUCUGUAGCUGGUCUGAGAGGACGACCAGCUACACUGGAACUGAGACACGGUCCAGACUCCUACGGGAGGCAGCAGUGGGGAAUUUUGGACAAUGGACGCAAGUCUGAUCCAGCCAUUCCGCGUGCAGGACGAAGGCCUUCGGGUUGUAAACUGCUUUUGUACAGAACGAAAAGGUCUCUAUUAAUACUAGGGGCUCAUGACGGUACUGUAAGAAUAAGCACCGGCUAACUACGUGCCAGCAGCCGCGGUAA